GCCAUUUCCACAGGGUCAGACAAACACCCACUGAUUGAUCAUAGAACUUCCUAUCAGAACCUAAAAUGAGGUCUGCUGAUCAGCCCCAGAUACACUUCUGGUAAAUGUGUUUUUGGGAAUUACAGACAAUAUUUUCCAGGGGAGAAACUUAGCACAGUUCUUUUGCAAUGCUAUGUGAAGACAAGUAUUGUGAUAAUAACAGGUUUAAAGAUAUUAGUCACUGAUAGUAAGAUUUUUAAGAAUUUUUUUCCAUAAUAUACUAGUGGCUUUUGACACUACAAAAAAGAAAGAAGAAAAAUUAGGUCUCUGUGAUCUAUUAUUUUUCUGUCUUUAGAAGAUGAGUUAGAAUCCUCUGUGAACUCUUUGACACAGCACAGCUCCUGCCUCAGUAGGUAAAUCAUCAGGACAUACAUAUUCUUAUUACGCAGACAGAUAUUUAAUUUCAAAUAAAUUCCAUUACUGUUUGAAAACAAAAAGAUUGCUUUUUUAUAUAAAAUGACUUCCAUUGGUUGCUGUCCCCUUCUUUAUUUUUUGUAGCACUGAGGAUUUAAGGCUACAUGAAGGGCAACGAAAUUUUGAAAUCAUGUGAUGAGAAACCAUCCUAAGACUAGCAGAAGAAGCUUUGGUAGGUCACAGAGAUAGUGAAGAGUAGGGAUUAAUAAGACAACCACUACUUGAAGCAAAUUUGGUGAUGAGUUGGAUAUAACUGGCAAUACAGGUGAGAUAUCUAGGAGGAUUCUUGGUUUCUGGAUUAUAAAUUUCGCUUGACAGAGAUGAUGAAUAGGUGAUAGAUAGAAAAGGAGCAUAUCUAGAAGGGAGUCAUAUUUUAUAUAUGCAUGUAUGAAUGUAUUUGCACAUACUGAUUUGAAAUUAUUUUGAAAAACUAGAGUGGAUAUUGGCAGUUGACCAGAUCUGGAGACAGCAGACAUGGAUCUGUGAGAAACAUCACUACCGCAUAUCUGGUACAUAUGGCCUCCCAGACCCCAGGAGCCUGCAGCCUGCAUUUCCAAGAGGCCACUGCAGAGACUUCCACAGCACCUCUGUUUGUCUAAUGACAUGGGCACCAGAUUCCACACUUAUUUCACAUUCAGCAGUACAGCUCUGCACACAGAAAGGUAAGCAGUGCAGGCUUGAUAAGCUUGCCUUUUGAACAAAUAAUUUGUCAGUCUGUGUUGGGAACUGGGAUGUUACUAGUUCUGUGAAGCACUUUUAGUGCUGUG
rnacentral:lncRNA from 1 species